AUGAUCUCUACAUCUCUACUGCUGCUGCUGCUGGCAGCCGUACACUGUGUUCACAGUGUUGAGCUGAUCCAGACCGGAUCCACAGUAUUAACUCCUGGUCAGUCACUGACUCUGACCUGUAAAGUGUCUGGAUAUUCAUUAACUGAUAGCAGCCUCUGUACGAACUGGAUACGAGAACCUGCAGGAAAAGCUCUGGAGUGGAUCGGGACAGAUAUGUGGUGAUGGUAACACUUACUACAGUGAGAAACUGAAAAGCAGGUUUCAGGUUUCCAGAGACACGUCCAGCAGCACAGUGACAUUAACAGGACAGAACAUGCAGACUGAAGACACAGCUGUGUAUUACUGCACUCGU